AUGACCAAAAAGGAGUCCGAAUUAAAAACUCUUUGCUGUCUCACCGUCCUUUUAUCAACUUUCUCCUCUCUGUCGUCUGUAUCUCUCUCCUCUCUGUCGUCUGUCUCUCUCUCCUCUCUGUCGUCUGUAUCUCUCUCCUCUCUGUCGUCUGUCUCUCUCUCCUCUCUGUCGUCUGUCCCUCUCCUCUCUGUCGUCUGUAUCUCUCUCCUCUCUGUCGUCUGUAUCUCUCUCCUCUCUGUCGUCUGUCUCUCUCUCCUCUCUGUCGUCUGUCUCUCUCUCCUCUCUGUCGUCUGUCUCUCUCCUCUCUGUCGUCUGUAUCUCUCUUCUCUGUCGUCUGUCUCUCUCUCCUCUCUGUCGUCUGUAUCUCUCUCCUCUCUGUCGUCUGUCUCUCUCUCCUCUCUGUCGUCUGUCUCUCUCCUCUCUGUCGUCUGUCUCUCUCCUCUCUGUCGUCUGUCUCUCUCCUCUCUGUCGUCUGUCUCUCUCUCCUCUCUGUCGUCUGUAUCUCUCUCCUCUCUGUCGUCUGUCUCUCUCCUCUCUGUCGUCUGUCUCUCUCCUCUCUGUCGUCUGUCUCUCUCUCCUCUCUGUCGUCUGUCUCUCUCCUCUCUGUCGUCUGUAUCUCUCUCCUCUCUGUCGUCUGUCUCCCUGUCCUCUCUGUCGUCUGUCUCUCUCUCCUCUCUCGUCUGUCUCUCCUCUCUGUCGUCUGUCUCUCUCUCCUCUCUGUCGUCUGUCUCUCUCUCCUCUCUGUCGUCUGUCUCUCUCUCCUCUGUCGUCUGUCUCUCUCCUCUCUGUCGUCUGUCUCUCUCUCCUCUCUGUCGUCUGUAUCUCUCUCCUCUCUGUCGUCUGUCUCUCUCUCCUCUCUGUCGUCUGUAUCUCUCCUCUCUGUCGUCUGUCUCUCUCUCCUCUCUGUCGUCUGUCUCUCUCCUCUCUGUCGUCUGUCUCUCUCUCCUCUCUGUCGUCUGUCUCUCUCCUCUCUGUCGUCUGUCUCUCUCCUCUCUGUCGUCUGUCUCUCUCUCCUCUCUGUCGUCUGUCUCUCUCCUCUCUGUCGUCUGUCUCUCUCUCCUCUCUGUCGUCUGUCUCUCUCCUCUCUGUCGUCUGUCUCUCUCUCCUCUCUGUCGUCUGUCUCUCUCCUCUCUGUCGUCUGUCUCUCUCCUCUCUGUCUCUGUCUCUCUCCUCUCUGCGUCUGUCUCUCUCCUCUCUGUCGUCUGUCCUCUAUCCUCUCUGUCGUCUGUCUCUCUCCUCUCUGUCGUCGGCUCUCUCCUCUCUGUCGUCUGUCUCUCUCUCCUCUCUGUCGUCUGUCUCUCUCCUCUCUGUCGUCUGUCUCUCUCUCCUCUCUGUCGUCUGUCUCUCUCUCUCUCUGUCGUCUGUCUCUCUCCUCUCUGUGUCUGUCUCUCUCUCCUCUCUGUGUCUGUUCUCUCCCUCUGUCGUCUGUCUCUCCCUCCUCUCUGUCGGUCUGUCUCUCUACUCUCCUGUCGGUCUGUCUCUCUCCCUCUCUGUGUCUUGUCGUCCUUGUAUCUCUCCUCCUCCUGUCGUCUGUCUCUCUCUCCUCUCUGUCCCCGUCUGUCUCUCUCUCCUCUCUGUCGUCUGUACUCUCUCUCCUCUGUCGUCUGUCCUCUCUCAUCCUCUCUGUCGUCUGUCUCUCUCCUCUCUGUCGUCUGUCUCUCUCCUCUCGUUCGUCUGUAUCUCUCCUCUCCUGUCGUCUGUAGCUCUCCUCUCUGUCGUCGGUAUCUCUCUCCUCUCUGUCGUCUGUCUCUCUCUCCUCUCUGGUCGGUCUGA
ensembl:lncRNA